rnacentral:sRNA from 1 species
GGGGGCGCCCCCACACUGCUCGCGUCAGGAGGGACGGGGGCGCCCCCCACACUGCUCAUGUCAGGAGGGACGGGGGCGCCCCCACACUGCUCGCGUCAGGAGGGACCGGGGUGCCCCCCACGCUGCUCGCGUCAGGAGGGACGGGGGCGCCCCCCACGCUGCUCGCGUCAGGAGGGACGGGGGUGCCCCCCACGCUGCUCGCGUCAGGAGGGACGGGGGUGCCCCCACGCUGCUCGCGUCCGGUGGACAAGGGGAUUUCCUGGGGACCUCCCUUCUCUUUAUUCGAGAGCUCAGGAGAUACUGGGAGCCAAAGGCCACUGAGGGCCAUUUUGCAGACACGUCAGGCAGGAUCCGGUGUCCUGGGAUGCGUGCUGUGCCAUAUCCCAUGCUGGGUCGCCUGUAAAUGAGCCGCGGAGCCGACAUGCGUGGCUGAGGGCUUAGCUCUGGACACUGUGCCUGAGAGUUUCGUGUUGAGAAGGAGCCCACAUGCAGAGCAGUGUGCAGUCACGGGUGUGUGGGCUUCGCAUCCGGAAGGUGAGCCUCGUGCCCCCUUCGCCUGCGCACGCCCCCGAGGGCACUGCGGGUCAGGACGUAACGCACGUGGCGUACAUGGCGCCCUGCGCCCAGCUGCUUUAGCUCUAGCAAGCCCGUUUGGGAAACGUCUCGUUGCCAUGAUGGUCUUAGUGCUCUGUGUGCGCAUGCUCCUGUGUAAGGUUAGUUGCUUUUCCUGUUCAACCCUGUGGCUGUAGUUUGUUGUUGCUUGGACGAGUGUGCACGUGUGAGCAUAUGAGUGUGCGUGCAAGGAUGUUGUGUGGGCCUGCACAUGUGAAUAUGUGUGUGUGCUCGUGCACACACAUGUGCAGCCGCUCAAGGUUGGGGUCUGUGUUUUGUUCCCUGCUCCAUCCCUGUGUGUGGAAUGCACUGGCAGGUGGUGGGUGUGCCGUGCAUGGUUGCUGACUGAAUGGGUGUUGGAGGAGACAGAGCUUGCUGAGUGUCCCAGGGUCUCCUGUGGGUGGGCAGAGCGCUCACUGGGCCGGGGCGGAGGGCAGGGGUGCAGGUGCUGUCUGUGCUGGUCCCACAGAGUUGACGGGCGCCGACCUGAAGGACUGCGUCAGCAACAACAGCCUGAGCAGCAAUGCCAGCCUCCCCAGCGUGCAGAGCUGCCGGCGCCUGCGUGAGAGGAGGGUCGCCAGCUGGGCCGUGUCCUUCGAGCGCCUGCUGCAGGACCCCGUCGGUGUCCGCUACUUCUCUGAUUUUCUAAGGAAAGAAUUCAGUGAAGAAAACAUUUUAUUCUGGCAGGCCUGUGAAUAUUUUAAUCAUGUUCCUGCACAUGACAAAAAGGAGCUUUCCUACAGGGCCCGGGAGAUUUUCAGUAAGUUUCUCUGCAGCAAAGCCACCACCCCGGUCAACAUCGACAGCCAGGCCCAGCUAGCAGACGAUGUCCUCCGCGCACCUCACCCGGACAUGUUCAAGGAGCAGCAGCUCCAGAUCUUCAAUCUCAUGAAGUUUGAUAGCUACACUCGGUUUCUGAAGUCCCCGCUGUACCAGGAAUGCAUCCUGGCGGAAGUGGAGGGCCGCGCACUCCCGGACUCGCAGCAGGUCCCUAGCAGCCCGGCUUCCAAGCACAGCCUCGGUUCAGACCACUCUAGUGUGUCCACGCCAAAAAAGGUUUCCAUUUGAUGACAGUUAAGCGGAAAAUCAAAAUCCGGCCGAUCCUUGAAUGAAGAGCUGGGGGAUGAGGACAGCGAGAAGAAGCGGAAAGGCGCGUUUUUCUCGUGGUCACGGACCAGGAGCACCGGAAGGUCCCAGAAGAAGAGGGAGCACGGGGACCAGGCAGACGGUUUGUGGGGUGGCUCCCGGGCUGUGGUGUCCAGGCCAGGCAGCCGCGUCCCCGUCCUGGCGUUGCUCUGGUGGUUGGCGGUGACCUUGGGCCAUGUGUGCAGUGAGAGGCCCUGUUGGCGGGUCGAGGAAGCUUCUCUGAAUGAAUAAGGAAUGCCGCUGUGUCUGGGGACACGACCUGUCAGCCAGCCAGAGGGCAGCAGGGCUGCUCCAGAAUCUUCAGAGAAAAGGGCUCAAUACAUUCCAGCCCAUGCCUACCUCAGGCCUACCCCACACAGUGGUGGCUGAACAUCUAUGUCCUCUCCUGCUUUUCACUAUCAAAGUAAUAGGUGCUUUUGGUAGAAAAUUUGGAAAAUACAAUCAAGUAAAAAUAACACACAAAUGUGCUAUUGGGUGUCUCCCCCAAUGGCAGCUUGGUUCUCUGCCAGGGCUUUUUCCUAGGUAGAUGUCAGAGUCCAUAUGCCUUUUACAUGUGUGUGGUUUUUUAAAAUGUAGUAGCAUAGUUGGAGUAGUGAGCAUUUUUCAAGUUAAGAUUGGUAUUGGUUAUUGGGGGCUGCCCAUUCUGGAUGCUCUGUCCCUUUUUUCUCUUUGCACGUCUGAGACUUCCUGUAACAAAAGUUAGGCAGAGAGACGGCUCCCAGGGCACCAGGGGGUGGGGCUACAGGGCCCUUGGCGGCUCCUGGCCGAGCUCCAGACACCAGCCGGGUGGUGUUGGUGGGUGGCAGGGCAGAGGGCAUGGAGAUGCCCAUGCUGAAUGCUGGCGAAGAUGAGGCUGUUCUGUACCAGGUGCUGAAAAGCACACAGGGGAGAACUGGGAAGAUUUUCUUCUCUAGAGAUUUUUGGGAAAGGGAUUAGUUUUCAGGAAUGAGUGUCCUGCCUGAAGGCAGGGGACUGGCACUAAGCCUGUGGUCUCCAAGUUUAAAUCAGGCAUGAGGUGAUUGCGCUAGCACCAGCCGGCAUGGCCCUGGUGGAGGCAGGUGAGCAGGGUGCUCUGUGCUCCGCGGCUGUGGCUUCUGUGUUUGCCCUGCAGUGCCAAGCAUUUGCGCACGGCUGCUCCCCGCCUGCAGGGGGAAGUGUUGUUCCCGGGGCGCUGAAGGAGGCGCUGGUGAGGGCUUGACGUGGGCAGCCCUGAGCUUCUGGCCAUGCUGUGAGGUGCUCUUCUCCGAGCAAAGGCAGCUGAGAGUUGUAGAGUUCACCUUUGUCGGAGGCCACCUGGGAGAUGGACACUGUGUUAUUAGGUGGGGCCAGGCCUCUCGAGUACCUGGGAGAUGGGAGUGUUUGCUUCAGACAGUCCAUCCGCUCGUGCCCAUCCUCAUACCUGGCAGAUCUGCAAAGGGCUUUUAAAACCUCGAUAGAGCCGGGCGUGGGAGCUCACACCUGUAAUCCCAGCACUUUGGGAGGCCGAGGCAGGUGGAUUGCCUGAGCUCGGGAGUUGGUGACCAGCCUGGGCAACAUUGUAAGGCUCUACUAAAAAUACAGAAAAAAAAAAAAUUAGGAGUCAGGCACAGUGGCUCAUGCCUGUAAUCUCAUCACUUUGGGAGGCUGAGGUGGGCAGAUCAACUGAGGUCAGAAGUUCGAUACCAGUCUGGCCAACAUGGUGAAACCCCAUCUCUACUAAAAAUACAAAAAUUAGCCAGAUGUGAUGGCGCAUGCGUGUAAUCCCAGCUACUCAGGAGGCUGAGACAGGAGAAUUAGUUGAACCCGGGAGGUGGAAGUUGCAGUGAGCUGAGAUUGUGCCAUUGAACUCCAGCCUGGGCAACAGAGCGAGACUCCGUCUUAAAAAAAAAAAAAAAAAUUAGCUGGGUGUGAUGGUGGGUACUUUCAGUCCCAGUUACUCAGGAGGCUGAGGCAUGAGAAUCGCUUGAACCCGGGAGGCAGAGGUUGCAGUGAGCCGAGAACUACACUCCAGUUUGUGUGACAGAGCAAGACUGUCUCAAAUAAAUAAAUAAAUAAAUAAAUAAAUAAA